UACGUAGGGUGCGAGCGUUAAUCGGAAUUACUGGGCGUAAAGGGUGCGCAGGCGGUUGAGUAAGACAGAUGUGAAAUCCCCGAGCUUAACUCGGGAAUGGCAUAUGUGACUGCUCGACUAGAGUGUGUCAGAGGGAAGUGGAAUUCCACGUGUAGCAGUGAAAUGCGUAGAUAUGUGGAAGAACACCGAUGGCGAAGGCAGCCUCCUGGGACAUAACUGACGCUCAGGCACGAAAGCGUGGGGAGCAAACAGG
rnacentral:rRNA from 1 species